AGCAGCACCACCGCCUUGCUGACAGAGCCUGUGUGUCCCCCUAGCAACCCCCGACGAAGUUGUGGAGGCCGGAGGGAGAGAGAAGACCAAGGAGGAGGCCCUGGCUGGGGAAACUGAGGAGGAGAUGGGGCUGGGGACUGUGAAGGCGAGGAGGAGGAGGAAAAGGAGGAAGCUGCAGCCAUAGACAAGGCGGAGGAGGAGGCGGGCCCGGCCCAUGAAAAUGACAAGGAGGAGUCGCCAGCCAGCGACCGGGCUGAGCAGGAAGACAAGCCUGCCCCCAAGGUGGACGGGACGGACGAUGAAAGCUUGUGGAGCAUUGUGAGUCUGUGUGGCAGCAACCACGAAGAAAGUGAUACAGACUUGGUGGCGGAGAGCACCGACUGCCGCCAGGAUGAGGAGGCUGCAGGUAGGGAAGAGCACACAGCUGGGAUCCAGGGGGAGAGGGUUCCUGGGAGCAGCUGGGUUCCACCUGCUGCCGGGAGAGGGAGGAAGGGGGGGAUAGGACUUGGCAGGUGGGUGGUGGGUGGCCUAAUGAGUGGAACCCUGAUGUGGUGUUUUCCCCUCCGAAAUUGAUAACACGAAGAAGACUUGUGUCCCUGGUCUUUGUCGUGCUGUGUUUGGAUUCCUGUCUCCUUCCUUUGAGAGGGAGAAUCGAUUUUCCCUCCCAAAGCUGCUCCUUCCAGCUCUUGUCUCUGGCCAUUGUGCCAGCUUGCUUUGUGGGUCGCACCCUGAGGGUCCUGUGCCCAAGAGCUGUUGACUUAGUUUCCUUUGUUGCCCUUGAGGGACCUGAUGUGGUGGGACGCAACCCUCUCCUAGGGCCUUGACCCUGGAGACCAAGUUCGUCUGGUGAGUGUGAGGUGGUGGGUGAGAAGGCGCUGUCUCCCUCUGGAUGUUCAGGAUUUCUGGCCUCCCUGUCC
ensembl:lncRNA